rnacentral:lncRNA from 1 species
UUUUUUAUUCUUUUUUUGAACUAAACAUUUUUUUUACAAUGGUGUUCUGGACUUCUCUUUUUUUACGACUUGUACUUUUCCCAUUUGAAUUGCAUGGGUGCUUGAACUUUUACAAUUUGAAUUUCUGUUUAUUUUUUUAUUUCGAACAGACCACCGUUUUAACUCGUACUGAUCAAUAUUUUUAAUUAAACCAUUUUUCCUUUCAUUUGACAGAAUUUUUUUCCACGCAUAAUACAUGUACAUGAAUCAUAUUACCCAUAGGACCGACCUCAACACAAAAGUCAUCGCCCUAUUCUUGUACAGAACUUUGUAGAUGUUUCUUUAUACACAUAUUGAGUACUGAUGCUAUGUUUUUCUUUGAACUGGUAUCAAUUUUCUCUAUACACAUAUUGAACUUUGUACGUGUUUUUUUAUGCAUUGAUAAUAUAAUACAUGUUGAACUGCUACACCAUAGCUAAAAAAUCUAUCCAUGUGAACAAUUAUUUUACAUUGAACUUUCAUCAAUCAACAUACAUCAUUUUCCUUUCUGUUCACACACUUACAACAAACAUUACAUAACACAUGCACAGCUCCACGAUCAUACACACUUCUCUCCUGUAGCUUCUCCUCGCAAUUGGAGAGAAAUCACAAAUGAUUUUAGAUACAAAAAUCACCUCCACAUGCUACCUUUAACAAACAAUCAAUUGGAGAGAAAAGCACAUGUGAUUUUACAUACAUAAAUCACCUCCACAUCCACCAGCUGGACUUGAUGUUUUUUUUCUUCUACUUCCAUGGUCAUGCAUAAGUUCAUACAACUAUUGAGCAAAAGCUCUUUUCCAUGAAGUUAAAAACAAGCAAGAAAAGCUACACAUCACAGGUUUCCUUCCCCUGCAAAGUUUCAAAUUUACUUCAUCUCCACAUUUUUUUGGACUGAACGUGCCACAAUUUUUGACUUGUCCAGGUGUUGCAAGCAAAGUUCCUGGAAAGUAAACUUUAGAUUUGUCAUCUCCCCGUUUCGAAAAAAGAUUUGUCAUCUUCACACUUUUUCUGAACUAUACUAGCCACAUAAUUUACAUAAACUUUUUUCACAUGCGAAUAUGAACAACAGCAAAAAAUCAUUUGAGCAACUCACAAGCACAAAAUACAAUGGAAUUCUUUCCACACAUUUGAGACGACGUCUUCAUUUUUAGCAGAUGAGAUAGUAGUACAGGUGUUUAGGUUCAGUUUAAAAAAGAAGAGAAAGAUGGAAACAUAGUAGUUAUAAUUCUUGUAGGCAUUUCAACAAACAAUGGAGGGUCACCCAGGGGAAGAAGGAAUUGGGAUCAUGCAUCAACCUGGACUGUUGUGUGUGCUUGACUUGGACGGCUGUGUAGUACGUGGUAAAGAUGGUGGCCACGAUUCUACUUGGACUGUUGUCCGUGCUCCACUUCGACGGCUGCCAGUAACCAUGGUGGAUGAGCUCGUGGUCGAGGGCAGCCAAGGCGACCACCGGGGACUGUAGGUGGUCAAGCUUGUUCUUGACAGCAAACUCACAACGAGGCAAUGGUGAAUGGCCUCGGCCGGCGGUGUUGGACUGUGGACGCAACGGUGCUAGACCACUCACCGGGACGAGGCGGAGUGGUGGCGAGAAGCAUCGCCGAGGGCAGCCAGAAGGUUGCACCAUUAUUCAUUUUUUCAGUUCAAAGUUUUUUAAGAAAUAACUGAACCAAAUGAUCUUGAGCUGAUGAAAAGGGUGCAUCUUGACCUGAUGUAAAUUAGCACCAUAUAAUAUAACACUAUUUUUUCAUAUGAGGCAAGACAACUAAGAUUGAGAGAAUACACUGAGCAUCAUGUUUAAUUCCCAGGUCAGUGGUCAAAUACUUAUGACAAGUAUAUUUGAACUGAUGUAUCCUUUUUCUAGUUACCGAAUUUCUAACCACCCCAAAUAAACUCCUAACUACUUAUGGCAAGUAUUUUUUGAACUGAUGUAUAUUAUUUCUAGUUAAUAAGUUGCUAUACCACAGGACUGCAUCCUUAGAAGUGAAACGCCAAUAUCAUUGGUUGUGUAAAAACACUCAAAAGAAUUGCUUGCUGUACUAUAUUUUAUAGUACAAAUUGUACGGAACUUCACUAACUUUUGCACUGGAAUUUAAUACAUCAUACAUACACGUUAAGUAAUGCAAACAUAGCAAACUCAAUUUCUGUAGUCUCUAAAAUAUAGGAAACCCAAAAUUUUCUAACGAGUGCACUUGCCUGGAGUUACCCACUGAACUUCUUGACUGACAUUGGUUCUCCCGUUUUUAUUUACACAACCAACUUCCUGUCUUUUUAUAAGUGAACUGAUGGAAAACUUGACGGUGCACUUAUGUAUUUUGUUCAAUAUGAACGGAGGGAGCAAAAAACCUACAAAGGUGUACGCAUAUAUAGCAAAUCCUAUAAAACACAUUUGGUUUGAUUCAUGCAGAGCAGCAACAAAGUGAGAUCGAGAGAAAAAGGAAGGUUGGGGUGCUGACCAUUAGUGUCGGCGGAAGAAUUGCAAGCAGAGCCGGGGAGCAGAAUAAGAGGAGCGGCGG